GAAGAAUCCCAUUUACCAAAUCUGCAUUAUCUUGACGCUGUUUUAAAGGAGACGUUACGUCUACACCCUGCAUUACCACUGCUUCUCCCAAAGCGUCCGAGCCAAUCUGCAAUAGUAGGUGGAUACAAAAUACCUGAGGGAACUAAAGUAUUCUUGAAUGUUUAUGCAAUUCAUAGGGGUCCUCAAGUGUGGGAAAGUCCACUAGAAUUCCAACCUGAAAGGUUUUUGAGUCCCUCGACUAAUUUAGACUAUGCUGGAAAUAAUAUGAAGUACCUUCCAUUUGGAUCAGGGAGAAGAAUUUGUGCUGGAAUUCCUUUAGCAGAGAAAAUGCUUAUGUUUAUAUUGGGUUCAUUGCUUCAUUCCUUUGACUGGAAACUCCCUGAGGGAGAAAUCGUUGAUCUUUCGGAGGGAUUUGGACUCGUCCUCAAGAAAAGUGAGAGGCUAUUGGUCAUCCCUACUCCCAGGUUACCGAAUUUCAAGCUAUAUCAGUAAAACCAUGAAACUAUAAGGACCUUGACAUGAUAUUUAUAAUAUCAGAGUACGUAUUUUAAAUAAAACAUGAUGUUGGUUGGUCACUUUCUUUCACCUGUUCAAAGUUCAAACCAAUAUUGGUCACUACUGCAUUAUUGCUGAGGUCUGAGGAGACGAGAUCGCAUUGACCCGUUCAUAUCUUCUGGACUUUCAAAAAUGUCAGCUUGGUGCAUGCAUGUAUCAGAUCCUGAGGAUCAAAUACGGGUAUGACAACAUUCAUUAGUUUGUUGUAAACAAUGAGUGCUGGUAUAACCGGACUUGUCCUUAUUUUUAGGACUACUAAUGUUUGUUUAGUCAAGCUUCCAAAAUCUAUUUAUUUUGAAAAGUAUUUUUUGUUAGAAGUGCUCAUUGAAAGAAGUUAUUUUUUUGGAAUAUAGCAGUUUGUCAAUAUCAUCGAUUUGUGUUUGAUCGAGAUUUCAAAGUGCUUUAGGAGUAAAGCAAUUUUUGUCAACUUAUGCUACUACUCGAAAACACUUAUUUGUAUCCUAAAAGCUUGGUCAGACAACUCAACUCUCUAAAUAAGCACUUAUGGCUUCACCAAAACUUGAUCAAACAGACUAUCAAUCCAAUAGAUACUAGAAACUUUAAUUUUUGUUUCUCCAAAAGAAAAGAAAGAAAAAGAUAAAAGGGUUGUUUUUGGAAAUUUGUGAAACAUCAAAUUGAAACAACAGUUGUUUUACUGUUUUUGCGUUGAAGUUUGAAGCACCAGUAAGGUUAGGGAGGUAUUUUCAUAUUCAUAUUGUGGUUCUUCAGACUUUCAAGAGUCACUUUUGUCUUAUCCAACAUAUUUUUAUUCUUCAAAAUUUGUUUUAUAUAUAUAUAUAUAUAUAUAUGGUACUAGAUUAGGGAACGUGUGUUGCACGUUUAUCCCAAAAUACUUUAUAUUAAUUUUGUAUUGCAAAUGACAUAUUUUAUCCCCUUUAAAUCUAUGGUAUUUACUAAAAAAAAUUCAUCAAUUUUCAGAUAGGAACUACAUAUAUCUUUCUAAAAAAAGAAUAUAUAUUUGAUUAUUAAAUUGACUAAAAGUGUAUAAAGUAAAAAUAACUAACUAUUGCACAAAUUCAAUAUUCAAAAUGAGGAUACUAAAAAUACCACAUGCUAGGCUUAUGUAUACAAAGCAACAAACCAUGGUAAAUUCUCAAUAAUAAUAACUACACAACAUUAGAAAAUUUGUACAAUAACAACAAACAAGAAACAUAAAUAUUAACUAAACAAAUAAAAGGAGACGAGAGAAGAGAGCAUAGAUAUUUUCUCUUUUUUUUUUUGUAAUUGGUUUAAGUGUGUACAUUAUUGUGUCAAAUGUCACUAUUUAUAUGAUAGUAUUGAGAAACACAAAGAGUUGUCAUGAAUAUGAGAUUAAUCCAUUUGAGAUUAUGGUGAGAGAUAGGAGUAAAACCAUAAUAAAUAUAAUCAGGGAGUUACAUAUAUUUACAUAAUGAAGAAUUAGUGGUAAUAAAAUUUAUGUGUACUAAUAUGAUGAUUUGCUAUUUAAUAUUUAAUUAAUUAAAUAAUUUAUAACAUUUAAAUGUAAUGUAUGAGAAAAAAUCUAAGGAUAAAAUUAAAAAAAUUAAAAAUAUUAAAUGUGUAAUGGAAAAUCAUUAUGACUAAUUAUUAAGAAAUUCAUAGCAACUAUCAUUAUGAAAAAUCAUCACUAUUAGUACGUGAAAGAUGUAAAGAUUGUAGAUUUUUUUCUUGCUAAAAAUAACUUACAUAGGAAUGUUAAUUACCAUAAUACCAAGAGUCAAAAUUCAUGGAUCCCAAAAUAAAUAUUAAAUAAAAAAACUAUUUUAAAUAAUUUCAAGAUAAUAAAUUAAUAGUUAAGGGGUAUUUUUGUAAUUCAACUUUUGACUUAGAUUCUUCCCUCUUUUAGUAUAACUAAUUUCUGGACACGUGUCUCAUGCUAAUUAAUAUAGACUUUCUAAAAUGAAAUAUAUAAUACUCUAUUAUAUACUGAGUAUAUACAUGUAUAUACUGAGCAAUUGAACAGUAAUUCAGUUGAAUAGUAGAUUCAAAUGCAACAUAUAUUUGUAAUGUAAUAUUAUUCAUCUGUCAUGUAACAAAAUGAGAUACAUGCUUGGGAGUUAUUCUAUUUCUUCACGAAGAUAGCAACUUUAGGUAUGCUACUAAUAAUGUUUUAAAAAUAAAUAUCUAUACUAAAUUAGAAGUGAGAGGUCACAAAGCAUCCAAAAAUGACACUAAAUGAAACCAAUAAAGUUGGAUUUAAAAUCAGACUCAUGAAAUAUAAACAUACUUAUGAAUUUGGUUCAGUAGCUACUUCCAAAGUGAUAUUUUUUGGAGCAAACUAAAAAUAUAAAGUGUGUGAAAUAAAUAAAAUAAAAAAUAUUAUCUAUACACAUUAUUUCGUAAACACAAGCCAUAUUUAAGUAGUAAACAGAAACUGAACUUGUUCAAAGGGGAAAAUAUAGUAUUACCUUAUGCUGGGCAAAACUCAACAAAUAAGAGGGCAAUAGUAAUAGCUUUUUGUGUAGUCUAACAGAAGAUGAGGAAGAAUAAAAUGAUAAAGAAA
rnacentral:lncRNA from 1 species